UUUUGCAAGCAAUGGUACACGGAGCUACAUGGAUGUACAUGGAGAUGGGUGCUGCAUGCGUACGUACGUUGGAAAGUGACCAUAGAUUGCUAGCAAAGUGAUUAAAGAAAGAUUGGUGGCUGGAAUGAUUGGAUCAGAGAAAGAAGGAUCAUGGCAUGGCUGUUGGUCUACGCUACGAGCAAGGAGUCCAAAUUAUUAUGCAUGCAGAUUGGUCUCUUCGCGUAUGGGUCAAAGGAAGCUUUAUUGGCGAGGGCUCUGCAUAAGGGAAAUUAGAAUAUAUGUAUCUUAGUAUUUUCUUUUGUUUAGACUUUUUAUAUUAGGCAAGUCUUGUACGACUCAUGCUAGGAGUCAUUAGUUCGGGUACCCAGGGUCGUAGUAACAUCUAUCACACGAUGAAUACAACAUAUGUACCUUUUCGGCUUCACGCCAUUGCAUUAGGAGUAGGAGUAAUGUAGAUUUUCUUCGGUGAGUUCUUUCUGGCAAGCAAGGCUGCAUCAACUUCGAUCUCCGGCAAGCCGCAAGUUCCCACCACCGGGUAUCCUAGAC
rnacentral:lncRNA from 1 species